rnacentral:rRNA from 1 species
AGCAGCCGCGGUAAUUCCAGCUCCAAUAGCGUAUAUUAAAGUUGUUGCAGUUAAAAAGCUCGUAGUUGAAUUUCGGGAUUGACACAUCGGUCGUGCCUUAAGGGGUAUGAACUGGUGUAGUCAAUUUCUCACCUUCUGGAGAACCGCGAUGCCCUUAAUUGGGUGUCGCGGGGAACCAGGACCUUUACUUUGAAAAAUUAGAGUGUUUAAAGCAGGCAUUUUGCUUGAAUACAUUAGCAUGGAAUAAUAAAAUAGGACGGCAUGAUUCUAUUUUGUUGGUUUCUAGGAUCACCGUAAUGAUUAAUAGGGAUAGUUGGGGGCAUUAGUAUUCAAUUGUCAGAGGUGAAAUUCUUGGAUUCAUUGAAGACUAACUACUGCGAAAGCAUUUGCCAAGGAUGUUUUCAUUAAUCAAGAACGAAAGUUAGGGGAUCGAAGACGAUCAGAUACCGUCGUAGUCUUAACCAUAAACUAUGCCGACUAGGAAUCAGACGAUGUUAAUUUUUAAUGUACUCGUUUGGCA